UACGUAGGGACCGAGCGUUGUCCGGAUUCAUUGGGCGUAAAGAGCUCGUAGGCGGCUGUUCAAGUCGAACGUGAAAACUCGGGGCUUAACUCCGGGCCUGCAGUGGGUACGGGCAGACUAGAGUGCGGUAGGGGAGACUGGAAUUCCUGGUGUAGCGGUGAAAUGCGCAGAUAUCAGGAGGAACACCGAUGGCGAAGGCAGGUCUCUGGGCCGAUACUGACGCUGAGGAGCGAAAGCGUGGGGAGCGAACAGG
rnacentral:rRNA from 1 species